rnacentral:tRNA from 1 species
UCCCUGGUGGCUCAGACGGUAAAGCACCUGUCUACAAUGUAGGAGACCCAGGUUCGAGCUCUGGGUUGGGAA